UAGAUAGAUAGAUAGAUAGAAAUAAAGGUAUAGAGAUGAGAGGUGGAUAGAAUUAAACGGAUAGUGAUUCAAGAGGACAGAUUGAUAGAAAAAGGGAUAGUGAUUAGGUAGAAAUAAAGGUGCAGAGAUUGGGUAGAUAGAUGCAUAGAUUGAUAGAAAUAAAGGGAUAUUGACUAGGUAAAAAUAAAGGCAUAGAGAUUAGAUGAGAGGUAGAUAGAAAGAUAGAUACAUGGAUAGACAUAUAUUGAUAGAAAAGGAUAGUGAUUAGGUAAAAAAUAAAGGCAUAGAGAUAGAUGCAUAAACUGAUAGAAAUAAAGGCAUAGAGAUUAAGUAGGUAGAUUUAUAGAAAUAAAUGGAUAGUGAUUAGGUAAAAAUAAAGGUAUAGAGAGAGAUGCAUAGAUUGAUAGAAAUAAAGGCAUAGAGAUUAAGUAGAUAGAUUUAUAGAAAUAAAUGGAUAGUGAUUAGGUAAAAAUAAUCAUAAUAUAGUAUCAAUAUAUAUCUUUAUUAGAAAUAAAGGCAUAGAGAGACAUUCAAUUCUUUUAUUGUCAUAUGUACAAGUACCAUGUAGAUAUACAUAUAUAGAUUGAUAGAUGGAAAUAAAGGUAUAGUGAUUUGGAAGAGAAAGAUAGAUACAUUGAUAGAAUAAGGGAUAGUGAUUACGUAGAAAUAAAGGCAUAGAGAUUAGGUAGAUUGAAAGACAGAUACAUAGAAGUAAUCCAUAGAUGUAUCUAUUAAUAGAUAGAAAUAAAGGCGUAGAGAUCAGAUGAUACACAGAUAUAUACUUAGAUACCUAGAUUGAUAGAUAAGAAUAAAGGGAUAAAGUUAGAAAUAUAGGCAUAGAGAUUAGGUAAAUACAUAGGUAUAUACAUAGACUGAUAGAAAUAAAAGGAUAAUGAUUGGGUAGAACUAAUGGCAUAGAUUAGAUAGCUAAAUACAUACAUGCUUACAUAGAUUGAUAGAAAUAAAGAUUAGGUGGAUAGAAAUAAAGGGAUAGUAUUUGGUAGAAAUGAAGGCAUAGAUAUUUGAUAAAAAUAAAGGCACAAAGAUUAGACAUUGAA